rnacentral:misc_RNA from 1 species
ACAAACUUGGUCAUUUAGAGGAAGUAAAAGUCGUAACAAGGUUUCCGUAGGUGAACCUGCGGAAGGAUCAUUAAUGAUUGACCGAAAGGUCUUAUCAACUAUCCAACCAACCUCUGUGAACCGUUGACCUCCGGGUCUCAAUAUACAAACAUCAGUGUAACGAACGUCUUGUUAUCUUAACAAAAACAAAACUUUCAACAACGGAUCUCUUGGCUCUCGCAUCGAUGAAGAACGCAGC